rnacentral:rRNA from 1 species
AACGCUAGCUACAGGCUUAACACAUGCAAGUCGAGGGGAAACGACAGAGGAAGCUUGCUUCCUUUGGGCGUCGACCGGCGCACGGGUGAGUAACGCGUAUCCAACCUUCCCGCAAGUAAGGGAUAACCCGUAGAAAUGCGGCCUAAUACCUUAUGUUUUCCUUAGAGGGCAUCUGAUGAGGAACAAAGAUCCGUCGCUUGCGGAUGGGGAUGCGUCUGAUUAGUUAGUCGGCGGGGUAACGGCCCACCGAGACGACGAUCAGUAGGGGUUCUGAGAGGAAAGUCCCCCACAUUGGAACUGAGACACGGUCCAAACUCCUACGGGGGGCAGCAGUGAGGAAUAUUGGUCAAUGGACGAGAGUCUGAACCAGCCAAGUAGCGUGCAGGAUGACGGCCCUAUGGGUUGUAAACUGCUUUUAUAAGGGAAUAAAGUUAGUCUCGUGAGACUUUUUGCAUGUACCUUAUGAAUAAGGACCGGCUAAUUCCGUGCCAGCAGCCGCGGUAAUACGGAAGGUCCGGGCGUUAUCCGGAUUUAUUGGGUUUAAAGGGAGCGUAGGCCGGAGAUUAAGCGUGUUGUGAAACGUAGACGCUCAACGUCUGCACUGCAGCGCGAACUGGUUUCCUUGAGUACGCACAAAGUGGGCGGAAUUCGUGGUGUAGCGGUGAAAUGCUUAGAUAUCACGAAGAACUCCGAUUG